UUGUUCGAUGCAUCGAUGAAUUACGAUGAUGGUAGAUGGUCAAUGUUUGAUGAUGAAACUACUUGCUUUAUGUUGAUAAGGAGUAUGUAUUUGUUUAGCUUUCGAUUCAACGGAACGUAGAAGUGAAUUAUUGCUAGGAAUCACACCUUGUGCUUUGCUUUGGUUGAAUGUUUUGCAUGUUAAAUUUGGAAUUUAUUUGUGCUCAAUCAUGCUUUGUUCGGUUUUAAAUCUCACCUUAGGACAGGUAUGAUACGAAGUGUUGAUAAUAAGUGAUUUGGGAUAUGAUUUGGGCCUUCUUUGAACCGUUUGAGCCUUUCAAGCCUACCUUUAAAUUUUUAUCCUUAGAACCUUGAUUUGAGCCUCGGAGAAAAAAGGUGUUCUUUCUUUUAGCCAAUAUGUAGAAGGUAGAAAAGUGGAGAUUUCUGAAUAAUCAUCCCUUGGAGGUCCGUCGAGAAAUUCUUAUAAGAUCUUUCUUCUUCUUCGAAAAAAA
rnacentral:lncRNA from 1 species